CGGUAAUUCCAGCUCCAAUAGCGUAUACUAAAGUUGUUGCAGUUAAAAAGCUCGUAGUUGGAUUUCUGCGGGGACGGAGCGGCCGGUCGCAACUUGCGACUCGAGCUAGCGCUUUCCCCGCAUCCUGCCGCGAACCGUGCUACCAUUAGCUUGGUGGCGCUGGGGAUCGGCUCGAUUACUUUGAGAAAAAUAGAGUGUUCAAAGCAGGCCACACGCCUUGAAUAAGUUAGCAUGGAAUAAUGACUAAGGACUUCGGUUCUAUUUUGUUGGUGUUCGGGACUGAAGUAAUGAUUGAUAGGGACAGUUGGGGCGGUCUGUAUUCCAAAGCGAGAGGUGAAAUUCUUAGACCUUCGGAAGACAAACAGCUGCGAAAGCGUUCCGCAAGGAUGUUCCCUUUGAUCAAGAACGAAAGUUGGGGGAUCGAAGACGAUCAGAUACCGUCGUAGUCUCAACUAUAAACUAUACCAGCUAGGGAUCGGUCAACGUUUAAUCAUUCGACUUGAUCGGCACCUUAUGAGAAAUCAAAGCAUCUGGGUUCCGGGGGAGUAUGGUCGCAAGGCUGAAACUUAAAGGAAUUGACGGAAGGGCACCACCAGCCGUGGAGCCUGUGGCUUAAUUUGACUCAACACGGGAAAACUUACCAGGUCCAGACAUAGUAAGGAUUGACAGAUUGAUAGCUCUUUCUUGAUUCUGUGGGUGGUGGUGCAUGGCCGUUCUUAGUUGGUGGAGUGAUUUGUCUGGUUAAUUCCGUUAACGAACGAGACCCCAGCCUGCUAAAUAGCGCGGCUGAGCUUUGCUCGGUGCGAGCUUCUUAGAGGGACUAUGAUGCGCGAUAGCACAUGGAAGUUUGGGGCAAUAACAGGUCUGUGAUGCCCUUAGAUGUUCUGGGCCGCACACGGGCUACACUGGCGCCUGCAACGAGCAUAUCAGCUGGCCCGAGAGGGUCUUGGCUAAUCUUUUGAACCGGCGCCGUGCUUGGGAUUGACCAUUGCAAUUGUUGGUCAUGCAACGAGGAAUGCCUUGUAAACGCGAGUCAUCAGCUCGCAUUGAAUACGUCCCUGCCCUUUGUACACACCGCCCGUCGCUCCUACCGAUGAAUGUUCCGAUGAAAUUUUCGGAGAGCGCCAGAGAACGGGGCUCUGCCUUGCAGAUCUGGAGGCUCAAAGUCACUUAAAUCUGAACAUUUCGAGGAAGGAGAAGUCGUAACAAGGUAACC
rnacentral:rRNA from 1 species